rnacentral:rRNA from 1 species
UUUUUAGAGAGUUUGAUCCUGGCUCAGGACGAACGCUGGCGGCAUGCCUAACACAUGCAAGUCGAACGGAGAUAAGCGCUGAACAGAAGGAAGCUUGCUUUUGGAAGUUCUUGCUUAUCUUAGUGGCGGACGGGCGAGUAACGCGUGAGUAACCUGCCCUUCAGUGGGGAACAACGGUUGGAAACGACCGCUAAUACCGCAUAACAUAGCGGGGUCGCAUGACUCUGUUAUCAAAGGAGCAAUUCGCUGAAGGAUGGACUCGCGUCCGAUUAGCUAGUUGGUGAGAUAAAGGCCCACCAAGGCGACGAUCGGUAGCCG